rnacentral:rRNA from 1 species
UACGUAGGGGGCAAGCGUUGUCCGGAUUUAUUGGGCGUAAAGAGCGUGUAGGCGGCCAUGCAGGUCAGCUGUGAAAACUCGAGGCUCAACCUCGAGACGUCGGUUGAAACCGCUUGGCUAGAGUCCGGAAGAGGAGAGUAGAAUUCCCGGUGUAGCGGUGAAAUGCGCAGAUAUCGGGAAGAACACCCGUGGCGAAGGCGGCUCUCUGGGACGGUACUGACGCUGAGACGCGAAAGCGUGGGGAGCGGACAGG